UAUGGAAACCUGUUUCUAAUUUUUUUGAGGAACAUAAGAAGCAUACUAUCGACGAGAGCGUUUUUUUCAUCGCAUAAACUGAUGCAAAAUAAAAACCUCACGCAACCGUUAAGGAGCAAAAAUCAGAACCUCGCCGCGACUCUCACGUUUGUUGUCAACAACUCCGGUCAUUCUUCUGAUCUACCUGAUUUUUCCAUCGACAUCUUCGAUCUUGGUGGAAUAGUUUCAACGACCUCAUGCUCUGCCGUCUCUAAUUACGACAUUUUAAUGGCUUCACAUUUUCUGCAUAUGAAUUCCUCUCUUCCGAUAUAAUUAAUUGCUUUUUUCCAUUCUCAACACCUUCGACAACGGUUUAUUUCAUGGUAAGGGACGCCGACCUUGCUGCUGCUUUUGGUUGGCCUUGGGUGCCAUGGCGAAUUGGCG
rnacentral:lncRNA from 1 species